rnacentral:lncRNA from 1 species
AUCAAUCCAUUGACGGAUUUGACCAAUAGUUCGAUUUGAUUUCUUCCACUCUAACUACUUGGCGGAGUCAGGAUUUUUACCCAUCAAUUCUAUGGGAUCAGACAAAUCUUUACAGCUUAGGAGAUCUUCCAUCCGAGGUCUCCAUAGCAUGUAAUUUGUGGUAGUCAGCGUAAUCAUGGCUCCGAAAGAUGAUGUUGACUCUUCUGUGGACAUUAUCAUCUAACAAAAUAAUUUUUCAACACGAUCGGGGUUGAAUUUUUAAACACGGAGUUCACCGUUGCGUCCGGAACGG